rnacentral:lncRNA from 1 species
AUCUCACUCCCGCCACAGCUUGGGAUCGGUCUCUGCUGUUUUACGUCCUCCACCUCGGGAGCCCCCGGUGACUGUCACAGCCUCUUGCCCUGUGAUCUGCAGGUUCUGGGAGACGCACAGCUAAGAUGCCAGGACAUCCUGGAAGCUGGGAAAAGAUGGAGUUUCACUCUUGUUGCCCAGGCUGGAGUGCAUUAUCCCAAUCUCGGCUUACUACAACCUCCGCCUCCCAGGUUCUGACAACAAAGGAGAUUGUGACAUAUUGCUGGGCCUAACACUAAGGUGAUGUUAGUUAUUUGCUUUGGCUGUGCCCUUGGAAGGCAUUGAGACAUACUGCUGUGCCCAGCACCAAGAUGAUGUAACGUGACUCUUCUGCUUCAGGCCUGCCAAAAGAAAAGAUUGUGACAGAUCACUGGACCCAGCACCUAGGUAGGAUUGUGACAUAUAUCUGGCCAAGCGUACAGAUGUAAUGAUGACUGUCAUACCUUGAAGAAGCCAAUAGCAGAGAGAAUGUUGCUCUCAGGCUUAGGAAAAUGAGGAAGUCUUUCUGUACAAAAGUCAUAAAGAAUUACUACUCUCUCACAUAUAUUACGCCCUAGUGUGUUACAGAGAAUGUCAUAACAGGGCCCAGCACACAAGUGAGAUUGUGUUUGUCCUAUGCACACUACACCAACCUUUACAGUUGUCACCCUGACCCAUUGACAGAGUCUGCUAGUGAGGUUCUGAAUUACAUGUGAACACAGUCCGCAGUUGGAAUUGUGACUGUCAUAUGUGAACAUCUGGCUACAGUUGGGAUGGUGACUCAUUUCUAAAUCCAGCUCAUAGGAAGGUGAAGACUCUCCUAUCUGGACUCAGUUGGUGAGAGAGAUGUUGACUCUCAUAUCUGGGCUUAGAACCACAGGAAAGAUUCUGGAGCUCCUUGUGCAAAGGUCAUAGAGGAUUAUCAAUCUUGCAUAUUGUAUAAAGUCCUCAGGUGACACAGAGUGUCUCUCGAAUGCACACCCAGGCAACAGUAAAGAUUGUCAUUCUCCCACAUAAACACAUCCCACUGUUGAAGUUCUGAAUUUCACAGAGGCUGUCAAAAGUUGGAUAAUUGCCUCUCAUGUGUGGAUCUGGUCCACAGGUGGGUUAGUGACUUCCAGACCAAGGUUCAGCGCACAUGUAAGGCUGUGACUACACUAAGAAGAUACAGUCUGCAGAAGAAACUGUGGCUCUUUUGCACACAUUCUGUCAAUCAUUGUGAUUGCGACUCAUGUACUUAGACCCAACAUACAGGAGGUGUUGACUUUCAUACCUUUAGAACCUGGACAUGUUUGGAAUUUCUAAUCUAAUCCCUGGACUUUCCUGCAGGUGUGAUUGUGUGCAUUGCAAAGCACCUUAGUGAUUUGACUCUCCUGCCUUGGCCAAGCACACAAAUGAGAUUGUGACAUAUGGCUUGACUCUGAACCUCCAAGAUGUGACUCUUUUUUCCAGCCUUGGAGCUGCCCACAUGUUGCAUUGUGACAUAUUCCUAAGCCCUGCACUCAGGUUAUGUGACUCUCCUUUUUUGCUUAGGCCCUGAAUAUUUUUCAUGUUAAGACAUAUUACUAGGUCCAACACCUAUAAAAUGGGAGACUACCACCUGGGCUCUUUCUACAGAGGGCCUUGUGACAUACCUCUGCAUCAAUAACCUAGGAGAUGUGAUGCUCCAUUUUUGCCUGUACGUGCCCCACAGAAAAAAUUGUGGCUGGCCCAGGUACCAGGUGAUGUGUCUCUGCUGCCUGGGCCUGGACCACAGAGAGCAUUGUUACUGAUUGCUGGGCUCAGCACCCAGGUGAUGUGACUCUGCUGCCUGUGUGCUGCUUUCAG